UAAGGAAUCUUGAUUUUAUCGUACUCAAACUUACUAGGUAGACCUUAUAUAGUAUAUUUACCUGGCUGCUAUUUGGGGUUGGGGGCACAUGAGGGGUGGGGUGAACUGUUGUUGUUUUAGGUUUCAGUCAGACAGACAUCCCUGUGCCUCAGUUCCCAGAAGCACAGCAGGCCUCUAGGAGCAUCCGUGGGAACGGCGCAGUCCUGACAUCACCAACUUCCUCCUGCUCAGGCUCAUCCCAUAUGCAGAGGUCAAAAGGGUGGGGUUUGAGAUGGGGGAAAGGAAUGAGAAAGUAGAAGCCAUGUCAUUGCAGUGCUGCUGUUGACCAGACUUUUGGUGCUUGUGUCAGUGUUUACUGUUUAAGUUGGAAGUCUGUGCAUACAUGUAUUUGGGGCGAAGGUAAUGGGAGGGUGGAAAAAAUAAGCCAUUAUUAUUGCUAGUCUGUUCUUGGAUAUAGUUCCUUAGUGUCUAAUAUCAAUUUUCAAAUGUAGGCUCCAGUGACAAAGAAUAAUAGAAGUGAGUCAUAGAUUUUUAGAAAACAUUAGACAUUAUGCUAAGUUAAUUCCCAAUUCUCUUAUAAAUACUAUUUUGUUAUUCUUUUCCUUCCCCUUAAUUUUUCUAUGUGUAUAUUUUUAAGGAAAUGUACAUUCAUGGGCAGUCCUUUCUAAGGGACUUAAUGAUUAUUAACUUUUACAAAACGAAAUACCCAAUGCUUAUGGGCAUACAAAUGCUACCCUAUUUUAAAUGUAGGUGGCGUAUGUGUUCGUGUUUUAUUUUAUUCAGAGCCAUUGGGCAAUAAGCAGUCCAGAACAUUGAAAUCUCAAGCAGGUAAAGCACCUAAUACCCUUAGUUUCUAGAAUUACUUUAAAGGCUUUAUAUUGGUGUGUCUUCUGUGGUUCUUUGGGUAGUCUCUGGAUUUGGAAUUUGUAGGAGCUGUAGACUACCUAGUUAACAUUUAAAUCAUGUAUUUAUUUAUAGCUUAUAGGGAUGCAUCUGGAAGGAAAAUAACAGAACAGAACGUGGCUCUUGUGAGAUAAUGACUGAGUGUAUAAUCGUUCCUCUUCCUUUCUUCCUACUUUUUAAUUUUCCUAGCUUAGCAUGAACAUUGAUCGUACAUUAUUUGAUUUACUAGGAUUGGGUUUUUUCCUGAUUAAUGAGGUGGGAUGGGCAAGAUAUGGAAAUGUUGAUCCACAUGCAAAAAUAUGAAAUGUUAAUACGUUUGCUUAAUUUGAACAAUAAGCAAGGCCUUUUUCUAUAUGCCCUUCUGCUGCAGCAGAGAGAUAAACGGGUAGGUGGCAGCAGAGAAAGGAACUCUUGAGUGGCCAUUGACAUUAGCCCUGCAUAGGAGAAGAUAGCAGGUGACAGACAUACCAAGUGGAGCGGGGAAGGCAGAGAUGGAAGCUGGACUGGGAUGGCUGCCUCCUUAACUCUGAAUGGUUUUCUUGAAAUAAUCAGUGGUAUUCUGGAUGAAGACAGAUUUGAGUUUGCUUUUUACAAUGGAAGAAUAACACAAAAUAAGAAACCAGUAGUUCUACCUUGUUGCAAUCAGUGUGGUUUCUUUUUCUAAAAUAAAAGCACUGAAUGGAAAUGAAA